AGAAUCAACGCUGGCGGCGUGCCUAACACAUGCAAGUCGCACGAGAAAGGGACUUCGGUCCUAAGUACAGUGGCGCACGGGUGAGUAACACGUGAAUUAUCUACCUCCGAGUGGGGAAUAACUGAGAGAAAUCUUAGCUAAUACCGCAUAACACUUACGAGUCAAAGCAGCAAUGCGCUUGGAGAGGAGUUCGCGGCAGAUUAGUUAGUUGGCGGGGUAAUGGCCCACCAAGACGAUGAUCUGUAUCCGGCCUGAGAGGGCGCACGGACACACUGGAACUGAAACACGGUCCAGACUCCUACGGAGGCAGCAGUGGGGAAUUUUGCGCAAUGGGGAAACCCUGACGCAGCAACGCCGCGUGGAGGAUGAAAUAUCUUGGUAUGUAAACUCCUUUCGAUGGGGAAGAUAAUGACGGUACCAUAGAAGAAGCCCCGGCUAACUUCGCGCCAGCAGCCGC
rnacentral:rRNA from 1 species